rnacentral:rRNA from 1 species
GACGAACGCUGGCGGCGUGCUUAACACAUGCAAGUCGAACGGAAAGGCCCUGCUUUUGUGGGUGGCUCGAGUGGCAAACGGGUGAGUAACACGUGAGUAACCUGCCCUUGACUUUGGGAUAACUUCAGGAAACUGGGGCUAAUACCGGAUAGGAGCUCCUGCUGCAGGGUGGGGGUGGGAAAGUUUCGGCGGUUGGGGAUGGACUCGCGGCUUAUCAGCUGGUUGGUGGGGUAGUGGCUUACCAAGGCUUUGACGGGUAGCCGGCCUGAGAGGGUGACCGGCCACAUUGGGACUGAGAUACGGCCCAGACUCCUACGGGAGGCAGCAGUGGGGAAUAUUGCACAAUGGGCGGAAGCCUGAUGCAGCAACGCCGCGUGCGGGAUGACGGCCUUCGGGUUGUAAACCGCUUUCGCCUGUGACGAAGCGUGAGUGACGGUAAUGGGUAAAGAAGCACCGGCUAACUACGUG